UACGUAGGGACCAAGCGUUGUUCGGAUUUACUGGGCGUAAAGGGCGCGUAGGCGGCUUGUCAAGUCACUUGUGAAAUCUCUGGGCUUAACCCAGAACGGCCAAGUGAAACUGACAUGCUAGAGUGCAGAAGGGGCAAUCGGAAUUCUUGGUGUAGCGGUGAAAUGCGUAGAUAUCAAGAGGAACACCUGAGGUGAAGACGGGUUGCUGGGCCGACACUGACGCUGAGGCGCGAAAGCCAGGGGAGCAAACGGG
rnacentral:rRNA from 1 species